rnacentral:lncRNA from 10 species
CCAGGUAAAAGAGUAAACUAUAGAUAGAUGAAUAGAUAGAUGGAUAGAUGGAUGGAUAGAUGAAUAGAAGAGGCAGCAUCUUGCAGAGAGGAAUGUUCUAGAAACUUCCCUGUGAGCACCAGCUCCGCAGGCUCCUUCUGUGUGGUGAAGAUGUCUGUGACAAAAACACUCCCAAAGCCUAAGCAAGGGUGUGAGCGCCCUAGAGAGACCGUUUGCCCCACCCCGGAAAUGUUCAUUCCUGCCAUGGAACCUUCCUGUUCAUUCCACAGAGGCUGAGCCGGCUUGUGGGGCUUGGCAAGGACUAGGCGGGGGGCAUCGAACCCUAAGGAGCUGAGCCACCGCUGGGGUCGGGGUCCAGUCCUGGGGAACGCGGGUCCCUGGAGCACAGCAGGGCCUGACCGCCUCCGCGCCGCCCUCCCCGCAUUUCCUCUCCUCCUCCCCAAGCCCAUGGCUCAGAACACCGAGACCUGCCUCGCCAAGAAACGCCCAUUUAUUUCCUUCCUAUUUAUUUAUUUUGCAAAAGCCGCCUUUUGAAAGCCGGAGUGCAGUGCGGACUGGCUGAGGCCGGGGCCCAGGCGCGCGCCUCCUUCCUGCAGGCGGCCCGGGGCAUCGAUCGCGCGGGGCGUAAUGAACCCUAAUAACAGCUCUAUCACCGCCCGCCCGCCAAUUGGCCCGGGUGCCCUCCAAAUUAGCCACAAAGAAGCCAGUCUGUCAAUAUUAAUUCCGCCGCGGAGAUUACUUGUUGUGGGAGAACAAAGGUGUUCUGGCUUGAGCUGAACAACUUAACUCCUUGUCUCAUAAAAUUUAAGCUGCUAUUGAUCGCCUCCUUGCAUUGUGUGAGGAUUAAACACGUGCGCGUGCACAUCCAGGCACACGCGCGCACACACUCGGGGCGCCCGGCCCCGCUCAGGCAGCCGCCCCACCUCCUCGCCUACCCGGAAUCAUUCAGCAACGUGGAGCAAAUUAAAUCAAUGAAUUCAUCCUAGCAGAUGGCCACUUUAACACUCAGUUAGCCCUUUAGAUAAUUGAGCGUUGACUCCGGAAUCAUAAAAUGGAUGGCUCGUUUGUACAUUUUACUGAAAUAGAUCACCGAGGUUAAAUAAAUGAAAUCCCAUUUGUCAGGCGGUAAUAAAUGGCCUCCCCUUCUGCAAACAGCUCUGUUUGGCCUAAUAAAUACAGGGACGUUACAGCGCUCCUCCCUUGAUAGGGUUACAGCUUAAUGAAAUGGCCUUCCCUCUGCUUGUUUUUGCCGCCUCCUGCACCGUGUGAUAAGUAGCAAACCAACGAAGCUUGUAAUUACAAUCUUACAGAAACCCGGCCAAUCUGUAUAUAAAUCUCACCCUCCAAUUACAAGAUGUAAUAAUUUUGCAGUCAAGCUGGUAAUGAGGUCUAAUACUCAUGCCUGUGAUAAUCCCCCCUGGAUGCUGACUCUAUCAGAUGUUAGCUUUGUAAUUAUACUGGCAGAAAAUCAUUAUUUCAUGUUCAGCAGAAAAAUGAGGUUGGUGGGAAGUUAAUUUUCUCUAUGCUCUGUGAAGCGUAGACAAAAUUUUAAUGAUUUAAUCAUUAUGGUUAUCCCUUUUGCAAUUGACCCACGUUACUUGUGUAGAAACAUUGGCACAUUUAAAAGUCCCUGUUACCCGAUAAAGCUUGCCAGGUAUGCAGCUUUUAAUGUAAGAAUAACUGUGUACAAUUAAACUAUUACCCUGCCGAUAGGGAAAAUUCAUUUUACUUUUAGUUUCCGUUAUUUACGUGUGUGAUUCAUGGAAAUGUUUAUGUCUUGCCCACACUAUAAUAAAUGGCUAAUUAAAAAAAUUGAAUUAUGCCGCCCUGAUU